CUUUGACAGGAUCCAUCAGUUCAUCGACUCGUUGCUUCACCACUGUGUGACACUGUUGUGCCGAUCGGUCCUGUUUGUCUGCUGAACCACCAGAAGUGGAAGAAGUGUUCAGUAAAACCUGUUGCAGAGAGAGAAACUGCAGGAGCAGCUGGAGGAACCUGACAUGAUGAACAGUCACCCAGAAGAAAUGAUGCGUUUAAUGUUUGUAUCACAUUUAUUUGACAGAUUUUCAAAGUAUUUUUUUAAAAACAAAAAAUGUUCAUUAAAUGGCAUCAAGACCUCAAGUUUACACAUCCAAUGUGUAAUAGCAAAAACAAAAAAAACAACAACAAAACAACGACAAAAACAUUUAAUUUAUUUUUUCCAUUUAUUUUACAGAUUUUCCUGAUUUUUGUAAAAACACAAACCAUUCUUAAAAUUACAAACAAACCAUGAAUUUAAACAAAAUAAUAAGAAAUAACAAUUCCACAGUUUUUUUUAAUUACAGAUUUAUCCUGUUAACUGCAAGUUGAAUAUAAAACACGUGAAAAACUGUAACUUUAAACAACCAUCAUUUUUUAAAUACAGAAAAAAAAUGUUUAAUUCCCUCAUAAAAUACUACUUGCAAUGUGUUUUUAAUUGAAAAUGCUAAAUUCAAGGUUUAUAAUUACAUUUACAAACUUUACUGUGAACACACCACUGGGCUGUUACCUGUAACACAGUGCUGAGAGAAUCAGAGUUUCCCAUCAUGCAUCCUGCUGAGCAGCUUCUAAGUUUGUUGCUUUCUUUUCUAAAACCUAAAUGUUUCUGUUUGUUAGUGACGUGAUGUUAAUAAUGUUCCAAAAUACCUUCUGUCAGUGUUUGUGAUGUGUUUCUUCAGAACAUCUCGGCUUGUUUUGGUAUUUAUAGUAAUUAGAUUGUUUUUAUAUGUGAAAACGUCCCAAAUCAAAGACUAAAAAGCCAAAAAAUACAAAAAGAUCUGAUGCAUUUUUGAAGUCUUUCAUGAACUUAUUUUGCAAUGUAUGUUUUCUAUCUUACAGUUUGUUUGAUACCUCCUAACCCUGCUGUCCUGUGGCAAAAGAUACAGAAGUAUCCGCUGUCGUACCACCAGACAACAGAGCAGCUUCUCGAGUUUGUUGUAAAAUGACAAAUAAAAGAACCUUGAACCUCGAA